rnacentral:lncRNA from 1 species
AUGCACUAAUAUAUCAUUAGGUCUCCGAAUAUAUUCUUAAACAUCUCUAUCAUAUCCGGUAUUUCGCGCACCACCUCCAUGAUGCUGGUAAUAAGGUUGGGACAUUGGCAUUUAUGAUAGUUCUGUCAUGUUUUCUAGUUUCUGUUUCAAUUGUUUCUAUUAAAGUCAAGGUAUUGAAGUCUCAUAUUGUUCUAAUUACUUUAGCUUCACCCCAUUUAACAUCGGCAUCACUUUCAUACACUUUGGUAGCAAGGGCCAUGUUCUGUCUCCCCAUUUCAAUAUCUUUUUUGUGUUCUUCUGCUCUUUUGGCCAAUCCACUUUUUGUGCUGCCUAUAUGAUAUUGCAUUUCUUGUUGGUCAUUGUCAUGUGUGG